rnacentral:rRNA from 1 species
AAACACACGAUUUCCCCUCUUGUUCACAACAAUAACAAGGAUUCCCUUAGUAACGGCGAGCGAACCGGGAAGAGCCCAGCUUGAAAAUCGGACGUCUUCGGCGUUCGAAUUAUAGUUUGGAGAAGCGUCCUCAGCGACGGACCGGGCCAAGUUCCCCGGAAAGGGGCGCCAGAGAGGGUGAGUGCCCGUGGUGUUCGACCCUGUCGCCACACAGGCGCUUGUCUACGAAGUCGGGUUGUUUGGGAAUGCAGCCCCAAUCGGGCGGUAAAUUCCGUCCAAGGCUAAAUAUGGAGAGGCCGAUAAAUAACAAGUACCGCGAGGUAAAGAUGAAAAGGACUUUGAAAAGAGAGUCAAAGAGUGCUUGAAAUUGUCGGAGGGAAGCGGAUGGGGCCAGCGAUGCGUCCCGUCGGAUCUGAACGGAGCAAUCCGGUCCGCCGAUCGAUUUUGGGCGUGGACCGACGCGGAUUAAGGUGGUGACCUAAGCACGGGCUUCGUUAUCCCGCGGAGACGUCGCUGCCAUAAUCGUGGUCUGCAGCACGCCACGGCGGCGUCCUCAGCAUCUCGUCCCUCGGAGCGUCGGCCUGUGGGCUCCCCAUUCGACCGGCCUUGAAACACGGACCAAGGAGUCUGACAUGUGUGCGAAGUCAAUGGGUGAGUAAACCUGUAAGGCGAAGGAAGCUGAUUGGCUGGAUCCCUCACGAAAGUGCACAGCCGACCGACCUGGAUCUUCCGAAAAGGGUUCGAGUGUGAGCAUACCUGUCGGGACCGAAAGAUGGUGAACUAUGCCCGAAGGGGCGGCCGAGGAAAACUUCUGGUGGAGGCCCGCAGCGAUACUGACGAUGCAAAUCGUUCGUCCGACUUUGGUAUAGGGCGAAAGACUAAUCAACCAUCUAGUAGCUGGUUCCUCCGAAGUUUCCCUCGGGAUAGUGGAGCUCGAAACGAGUUCUAUCGGGUAAAGCCAAUGAUUAGAGGCAUCGGGGACGAACGUCCACGACCUAUUCUCAAACUUUAAAUAGGUAGGACGGGGUGGCUGCUUUGUUGAGCCAUCCCACGGAAUCGAGAGCUCCAAGUGGGCCAUUUUGGUAAGCGAAACUGGCGAUGCGGGAUGAACCAGAAGCCGGGUUACGGUGCCCAACUGCGCGCUAACCUAGAACCCACAAAGGGUGUUGGUCGAUUAAGACAGCAGGGCGGUGGUCAUGGAAGUCGAAAUCCGCUAAGGAGUGUGUAACAACUCACCUGCCGAAUCAACUAGCCCCAAAAUGGAUGGCGCUGAAGCGCGACCUAUAUACCGGCCGUCGGGGCAAGAGCCAGGCCUCGAUGAGUAGGAGGGGGCGGCGGUCGCUACAAAACCUAGGGCCCGAGCCCGGCGGAGCGACGUCGGGUGCAGAUCUUGGUGGUAGUAGCAAAUACUCAAAUGAGAACUUUGAAGGCCGAAGAGGGGAAAGGUUCCAUGUGAACGGCACUUGCACAUGGGUUGGUCGAUCCUAAGAGUCGGGGAAACCCGUCUACGAUAGCGCUUUUCGCGCCGGAACUUCGAAAGGGGAUCCGGUUAAAAUUCCGAACCGGGGACGUGGUGGUUGACGACAAACGUUAGGGAGUCCGGAGACGUCGGGCGGGAAUUCGAAAAGAGUUAUCUUUUCUGUUUAACAGCCUGCCCACCCUUGAAAAGGCUCAGCCGGAGGUAGGGUCCAGAGGCUGGAAGAGCACCGCGACGUCGCUGUGGUGUCCGGUGCAUUCCCGGCGCCCUUGAAAAUCCGGAGGACCGAAAAGCGCUCACGCCGGUCGUACUCAUAACCACAUCAGGUCUCCAAGGUGAACUGCCUCUGGUCGAUGGAACAAUGUAGGCAAGGGAAGUCGGCAAAAUGGAUCCGUAACCGGGAAAAGGAAUGGCUCUGAGGGCUGGGCUCAAAGGUCCCAGUUCCAAACCCGUCGACUAUUGGCGGGCUGCUUGAGCCGCUAACGUGGGCGAGAGUGGACCGCCUCAUGUCGGACGGGGGGCGGACUGGGAACGGCUCUUUCGAGCUUUCCCCGGCGUCGAACAGCCAACUCAGAACUGGUACAGACAAGGGGAAUCCGAUUGUUUAAUUAAAACAAAGCGUUGAUGGUCCUUUAUGAUGCUAACGCGAAUGUGAUUUCUUCCCAAUGCUCAAUGUCAAAGUGAAGAAAUUCAACCAAGUCGGGGUAAACAAAUGAGUAACUAUGACUCUCUUAAGGUAGUCAAAUGCCUCGCCAUCUAAUUAGUGACGCGGAUGAAUGGAUUAACCAGAUUCCCACUGUCCCUGUCUACUAUCCAGCGAAAAACCACAGCCAAGGAACGGGCUUGGCAGAAUCAGCGGGGAAAGAAGACCCUGUUGAGCUUGACUCUAGUCCGACUUUGUGAAAUGACUUGAGAGGUGUAGAAUAAAAGGGGAGCUCCGGCAGUGAAAUACCACUACUUUUAACGUUAUUUUACUUACUCCGUGAAUCGAGGCGGGGUAACAACUCCGCCUUUUAGACCCCAAGACUCGCCAUGGGUCGAUCCGGUGGAGGACAUUGUCGGGGGGAGUUUGGCUGGGGCGACACAUCUGUUAAAAGAUAACGCAGGUGUCCUAAGAUGAGCUCAACGAGAACAGGAAUCUCGUGUGGAACAAAAGGGUAAAAGCUCGUUUGAUUCUGAUUUUCAGUACGAAUCGAACCGUGGCGGGCCUAUCGAUCCUUUAGAUCUUCGGAGUUUGAAGUCAGAAAAGUUACCACAGGGAUAACUGGCUUUGUAGCAGCCAAGCCGCUCAUAGCGACGUUGCUUUUGAUCCUUCGAUGUCGGCUCUUCCUAUAAUUGUGAAGCAGAAUUCACCAAGUGUUGGAUUGUUCACCCACCGAUAGGGAACGUGAGCUGGGUUUAGACCGUCCGUGGAGACAGGUUAGUUUUACCCUACUGAUGCCCGCGUCGCAAUAGUAAUUCAACCUCGUCUGAGAGGAACCGUUGAUUUGCACAAUUGGUCAUCGCGCUUGGUUGAAAAAGCCAGUGGCCACGACCGCGCGCUGGAUUAUGACUUAACGCCUCUAAGUCAGAAUCCGGGCUAAAGCGAUAUCACAUGCCGCCGCCCGAUUGCCGACCCUCGGUAGGAGCUUUGGCCCCAAAGGCUCGUCGUUGGCUAAAUCCGUUCGGCUGAAGCCCGUUCGACCGC